CCCCCCCCCCCCCCCGAGAUCCUGCUGCUUCUCGACCUUAAUCUUGCCCGCGCCCUCCACCCAGAUCCUGCGUGCAUGUGCAUCCUCCCUCGUCGGCGGCAAGAACAAGCUCGUGCGUUGUCCACCUCCCCGACUAAACACAGCCAGGGGCGCACACGGUUUGGGGUGUCUGCGGUGAAGGAAUUCCCAACAAGCCUGCAACGCAAUGCCGCCUCCGUUCUUGCCUGCUUAUUUUAGAGUAUAUUCAUCUGCUUAUUUUAGGGUAUGUGGUCUUUGCUCGUGGGCUGCUCCUAGUACAAGUGAACUAGAUCUGAGUUGAUGUGUUCUAGAUUUCUAAACUUGGCAUUGUUCCGAGUCUUUCUCCAACUUAUCCCUUAUCAUUAGAAGGGAAUUUAUUCAAUAAGUAGAUCUGAAAAAUGCUCGUGCUUUGUUAUGCUAAUUUCCAGUUCUUCAAUCAGAAUCCCAUUAGCUACUUAUUGACUCACAAUUUCAGUGACAUAGGUAAUUAAGGUGGUUCUGUACCAUCGAUCCCAUCAGGUUAUUACAUAUGGAUUUUCAAAAAUGAAAACUACAUGUGGUUCUGUAUCAUUUAUAAGUGAAGGGUGCAUACAUGUUACCAAUCAUGCUGAGCUGAAAUUUUGCAACAGUAUGGAAUAGAAAGUUCAGGUGUGUUCAUGGUUGGUGACUUAUUUUUGCACCUCCUUGACAAAUUGUCACUUUAUUGUUAAUUUUCGUUCACAGAUCCACCAUUGCUGAGGUAUUGUCCCCAUCCCUCCUCCCUUCUCAUGUUCCCUUCUCAUGUAUAUGAGAACGCUACGGAUUAUGUGCAUCAAUUGUUUCCAUAGUGUUCCCUCCAAAUGGAUUUUUUUUCUCAGGCACAGGUUGAACAUUUCCUUUUCAUCUCAAUGUAUUUGAUUAACCAUGUAGGAAGUAUCUACUGGUAUUCCUUUCUUUUUGUCAUUCUAUCGAACUGAAAUUUCUCGUGAAGUAGUGGAUCUGUGCCUAAAGGACUAAAAAAUAAAAUCGGCAUGCACAAAAGGGUGAAAUUUUAGGAAAUGUGCUCACUGUCGGAGCAAUUUGUAUUGUUUUGUUUAAUUCAAAUAGAGUUCAAUAUCUUCUUAUUGAUGAAAGAUAUAUGACCGAGAAUACAAUGACUCAGUUUAUUACAAUCUAAAUGAUAUGAAAUUCAGAAACUCUUAUGAGCUAGAAUCUGUUGCCUUUAGAAACUAUAGCUAUGUUUCACUGAUUACAAUUAAUUUUCUGAUGCUUGCAGUUCUUCAUAGUUUUUUUUCAUUUUAUAUCCUUAUAUGGUUUCCCCAAUGAACAACAGAGCUACCAUGUUUGUUCUCAUGGUUAGUAGAGUGGCACAGCUCUGCAGAACUGGUUUGUCUGGAAGAGGGGAUGGGAGAUAUGGGCAAGGCGAAUGGGCUAAGUUCCUUGGAAGUGGCACAGCUCUCCGCAGAAGCUAGUAGAUGAGAUCAGUUAGGAGUUAUCAUUUUGUUAUUUAAAGUGAAUUGAAGUCUUCACCAUUCCAGCAGUAGCACCAAACACUAUGAGCUAUGGUUUUGAGCUAAUCCUGUUCCUCUAGAUGAAAUAUAGAAGGCAAGCUCAUCUUUAUGAGCUAUUGUAAACAGCAGUCAAAUAUGUUAUUAGUUGGUAUGUUUGUUGCACUAAACGAUAAUUUGUGAGGAAGAUGUACCUUUAAGUUGUGUAUUUUAUAAAUGAAAUUUUUAUGAUGAAUGAAUCAUUGAAGUUCAA